CUCAGGGGUUGGUGGGUGGGAAGGAAGCCGGUCCUCCCUCCGCAGUGAGGCCCCUCCUGGGCCUGGACCAGCCUCCAUUUCCUUCCAGCAGCUCAGCCCUGGCCUCUGAGCGGGAAGGACACAGAGUGCGUGGGGCCAGCCCAAACCACAUGGCGUCUGUGCACUUUACCAGCACCUGGCCUCAGCUCCGAGUGGAGUGGCCGGUCCACACUCCCUCCACGGGGGGCUGGAAUUCUGCACUUUGAUCAAGACUCACACUCUGCGGGGUGGACGAGGCGGACGGGAGAGCGGAGGCUACUGAAGGGCUGGAUCUCGGCGCGUAACCCAGACUGGCCCCUAGGAAGUGGACACACUGGGAUUCCUAAGCCCAGAACACGAGUGAGCGACCUUGCCAGGUCUCGCAAGCCCACGGGCGGCCGAUGGAGGGGGCCUGGGCUAGGCGUGUCAGUCCCGCUUGGCCAUCAAGCCUUCUGGGCCUCCCGUCUGUGACUUGGAGAUGUGUCCAGGGCUCAGUCAACGCUGGUACCCCGACCCGGUCCCGCGCUGUUAAGGGCGUGACCCUGGCACGCGGUGUGCACUGCUCCGCGCAAGACGUCAGUGGCCCUUCGCAUCGACCCGAGGAGGCGGCGCCCCUUUCCGACAGGCGGAGAAGCCAGGGCUCUCCGCGGGGCCCGCGCGGGAGGCGCAAGGGUCGGCGGGGGCGGCGCGGGGACUACAUUUCCCAGGAGCGGUUCCCGCAGCCCGGCGCUCGGGGCUUUUAAAGGGCCGCGCGUACAGGGGGCGGGGGCGGCUCUCUGCCCGCGGGCCAGCGGCUCUGCGCCGGGAGGGACCCGAGAGCCGCCGGCGAGGGGCCCGGAGCCGACCUGCAGUGCCCGCAGGCGAGGCCGCGCCAGAGCGAGGCGGCCUCUCCUCAUCCUGCGCCUCCCCGGGGCCGGGCUGGGCCCCCAGCCCCGGGACCCCUUCCUUCCCCUCCAGCGCCUCCCAACAGGGACCGGGCGGCAAAGGCGGGAGCAGGGUGUCCGCCGCUGGUGGCCCGCACCUCGUCGCGACCCCUCCCCCAUUUCUGGUUUCCGUUCCGGGAGAGAAUUACAGGUCGCCGGGAUGGGCGGGGAAAGCAGCCAAAAACUGAGGGCCGGGGGCGCCGGGAGCCGAGCCGGCGCUGCCCUCCCCCACUCCUCCCAAGCCCGCUGGCCCCCGGUUAAGUGAGGUGCUGGGGGUGCUGAUCACAUCGCCUCCCGGGAGGCAGGCACAAAGGACCAAGAAACUGGUGAACAGCACUUUGCAAACAGUCGUGCGCUGUGCGAAUGAUAUAUUUCAGCAGCACGUCACUGGAUUCAACCGUCGUUAUUCUAAGGCAGAAUGGACCCGGGGGCGGGGUGCACGUGGAGCAUCUUGGAUACAGGGGUGGCGCAGGGUGCAACAUCUUGGAUACAGGGGUGGC